AUUGAACGCUGGCGGCAGGCUUAACACAUGCAAGUCGAGCGGAGUGAUGGUGCUUGCACUAUCACUUAGCGGCGGACGGGUGAGCAAUGCUUAGGAAUCUGCCAUUUAGUGGGGGACAACAUUCCGAAAGGAAUGCUAAUACCGCAUACGUCCUACGGGAGAAAGCAGGGGAUCUUCGGACCUUGCGCUAAAUGAUGAGCCUAAGUCAGAUAAGCUAGUUGGUGGGGUAAAGGCCUACCAAGGCGACGAUCUGUAGCGGGUCUGAGAGGAUGAUCCGCCACACUGGGACUGAGACACGGCCCAGACGCCAACGGGAGGCAGCAGUGGGGAAAAUUGGACAAGGGGCGGAAGCCUGAUCCAGCCAUGCCGCGUGUGUGAAGAAGGCCUUUUGGUUGUAAAGCACUUUAAGCGAGGAGGAGGCUACUAGUACUAAUACUACUGGAUAGUGGACGUUACUCGCAGAAUAAGCACCGGCUAACUCUGUGCCAGCCGCCGCGGUAAAAC
rnacentral:rRNA from 1 species